GGCUUUUGGGAUUCGUGCUGAGAUUUCGCCACACAACAGACCGUUAGCACUGGUGAGACUCCCAAGGUAAGUGGAGCG
rnacentral:pre_miRNA from 1 species